UACGUAGGUGGCAAGCGUUGUCCGGAAUUAUUGGGCGUAAAGAGCUCGUAGGCGGCUUGUCGCGUCGGCUGUGAAAACCUGGGGCUCAACCCCGGGCCUGCAGCCGAUACGGGCAAGCUAGAAUUCGGUAGGGGAGACUGGAAUUCCUGGUGUAGCGGUGAAAUGCGCAGAUAUCAGGAGGAACACCGGUGGCGAAGGCGGGUCUCUGGGCCGAAAUUGACGCUGAGGAGCGAAAGCGUGGGGAGCGAACAGG
rnacentral:rRNA from 1 species